ACUAACACCGUUGAGAUAUUGAAACCGGCGGUACCCGAAUUCAAAGUUCGAUCCGGAGCAUUGAUUUCGAACAACGACGAGAAUUCCACUUUUGUUUCAUCUUGAUUUCCUUCCUUUCGUUCGUAGCUGAUGGAUUCAUCGCCGAAGGUCUCGUCCAGAGCCUUGAUUUCGGACAAAGACGAAAAUUCCACUUUCGUUUCAUCUCGAUUUCCCUCAUUUCGUUCGUAGCUGAUGGAUUCAUCGCCGAAGGUCUCGUCCAGAGCCUUGAUUUCGGACAACGACGAGAAUUCCACUUUCGUUUCAUCUCGAUUUCCCUCAUUUCGUUUGUAGCUGAUGGAUUCGUCGCCGAAGGUCUCGUCCAGAGCCUUGAUUUCGGACAACGACGAGAAUUCCACUUUCGUUUCAUCUUGAUUUCCCUCAUUUCGUUCGUAGCUGAUGGAUUCAUCGCCGAAGGUCUCAUCCAGAGCCUUGAUUUCGGACAGCGAUGGAUAUAACGUUUCAUCUCGAUUCUCCUCCCCUCGUUUGUCACCGAUGGACUCAUCACGGGAUUUUUCGUCCAGCACGCCAUCUCCUUGGAUUGGUGGGGUGGAGGAAUGGAGUG
rnacentral:lncRNA from 1 species